CUACACAUUUGUGCCUUCAUAACUAGUAGAAAGAAUCAAAGAAUUCCCAUAGCAGAGAACCUCCUGAGUUUUCUCCAAAUAAAACCUAAAUCAAAGCAAAAACCUUAUUUUAUUUUAGUAACAGAACCAUCAAAGCCAUAUUAUUCUCUGCAAGAAAUUUGCCAAGGAUCAAGAAAUGUUAAGAGCAUCUUCUUCGCUACUACCACCAGUUUCCUCUGCUCCAUCUCUCUUAACUCUCAUCCCUUCUCUCAACUUCUCAUCAUUACCAUUAUCAGAACCAUUUUUUACUUCUUCCCCUGUUAAAUUUUCUCUGCUGCAUCAUCAGACAA
rnacentral:lncRNA from 1 species